GAGCACGUAGGUGGGUUUGUAAGUCCGGCGUGAAAGCCCUCGGCUCAACCGAGGAAGGCCGUCGGAAACUGCGCGCCUUGAGUGCGGGAGGGGAGAGUGGAACUCUUGGUGGAGCGGUGAAAUGCGUAGAUAUCAAGAGGAACGCCGGUGGCGAAAGCGGCUCUCUGGCCCGUAACUGACGCUGAGGCUCGAAAGCCAGGGGAGCGAACGGGAUUAGAUACCCCGGUAGUCCUGGCCCUAAACGAUGGGCACUAAGUAGAGGGG
rnacentral:rRNA from 1 species